rnacentral:rRNA from 1 species
CCCGCACACCGAAAAACUAAGGUUUCCACAGCUAUGCUAAUCAGCUGUGGGUUAGUCUGGACCUAAGGCGAACCCGAAGGGGGCAGUCGAUGGCCAACGGGUUAAUAUUCCCGUACUUCUUAUUGCUGUGAUGGGGUGACGGAGUGAUGAAAGCGCCGCGAACUGACGGAAUAGUUCGUUAAAGCACCUAGCUAUAGGGUCUCUAGGCAAAUCCGGAGAUCUUGGUGAAAUGCGAUAGUACUCGGAGUCUUCGGACAAAGAGAUAGUGCGCCUAAGGGCUUCCAAGAAAAACCUCUAAACUUCAGGCAGUAAGAACCAGUACCGUAAACCGACACAGGUAGUUGAGGAGAGAAUCCUAAGGUGCUCGAGAGAUUCAUGGCUAAGGAAUUAGGCAAAAUAGACCUGUAACUUCGGGAGAAAGGUCGCCCCGAGCAAUCGGGGCCGCAGUGAAGAGGUCCAGGCGACUGUUUAUCAAAAACACAGGGCUCUGCAAAAUCGCAAGAUGAGGUAUAGGGCCUGACACCUGCCCGGUGCUGGAAGGUUAAGAGGGGAUGUCAUCGUAAGAGAAGCAUUGAAUCGAAGCCCCAGUAAACGGCGGCCGUAACUAUAACGGUCCUAAGGUAGCGAAAUUCCUUGUCGGGUAAGUUCCGACCUGCACGAAUGGUGUAACGAUCUGGGCGCUGUCUCAGCCAUGAGCUCGGUGAAAUUGUGGUAUCGGUGAAGACGCCGAUUACCCGCAACGGGACGGAAAGACCCCAUGCACCUUCACUAUAGCUUUGCACUGACUUUUGGUAACUGGUGUGUAGGAUAGGUGGGAGGCUAUGAAGCGGUGUCGCCAGGCAUCGUGGAGCCAACGUUGAAAUACCACCCUUUCUGUAUUCGGUGUCUAAUCCCGAUCAUCGGGAGACAUUGUUUGAUGGGUAGUUUGACUGGGGUGGUCGCCUCCAAAAAGGUAACGGAGGCUUUCAAAGGUAAGCUCAGUACGCUUGGUAACCGUACGGGGAGUGCAAUAGCAUAAGCUUGCUUGACUGUGAGACAUACAGGUCGAUCAGGGUCGAAAGACGGAUAUAGUGAUCCGGUGGUUCUGCAUGGAAGGGCCAUCGCUCAAAGGAUAAAAGGUACGCUGGGGAUAACAGGCUGAUCUCCCCCAAGAGCUCACAUCGACGGGGAGGUUUGGCACCUCGAUGUCGGCUCGUCACAUCCUGGGGCUGGAGAAGGUCCCAAGGGUUCGGCUGUUCGCCGAUUAAAGUGGCACGCGAGCUGGGUUCAGAACGUCGCGAGACAGUUCGGUCCCUAUCUGUUGUGGGCGUAGGAAUUUUGAGUGGGGCUGACCUUAGUACGAGAGGACCGGGUUGGACCAGCCUCUAGUGAAUCUGUUGUUCCGCCAGGGGCAUUGCAGAGUAGCUACGCUGGGAAUAGAUAAGCGCUGAAAGCAUCUAAGUGCGAAACUAGCCACGAGAUGAGAAUUCCAUAUAGGACCGUAGCAGACUACUACGUUGAUAGGCUACAGAUGUAAAGCUGGUGACAGCACAGUCGAGUAGUACUAAUCAUCCGAAGCUUUCAAAAG